UGGGGAAUAUUGCACAAUGGGCGCAAGCCUGAUGCAGCCAUGCCGCGUGUAUGAAGAAGGCCUUCGGGUUGUAAAGUACUUUCAGCGGGGAGGAAGGGAGUAAAGUUAAUACCUUUACUCAUUGACGUUACCCGCAGAAGAAGCACCGGCUAACUCCGUGCCAGCAGCCGCGGUAAUACGGAGGGUGCAAGCGUUAAUCGGAAUUACUGGGCGUAAAGCGCACGCAGGCGGUUUGUUAAGUCAGAUGUGAAAUCCCCGGGCUCAACCUGGGAACUGCAUCUGAUACUGGCAAGCUGGAGUCUCGUAGAGGGGGGUAGAAUUCCAGGUGUAGCGGUGAAAUGCGUAGAGAUCUGGAGGAAUACCGGUGGCGAAGGCGGCCCCCUGGACAAAGACUGACGCUCAGGUGCGAAAGCGUGGGGAGCAAACAGG
rnacentral:rRNA from 1 species